UACGGGAGGCAGCAGUGGGGAAUAUUGCACAAUGGGCGCAAGCCUGAUGCAGCCAUGCCGCGUGUAUGAAAAAGGCCUUCGGGUUGUAAAGUACUUUCAGUCGUGAGGAAGGUGUUAAGGUUAAUAACCUUAGCAAUUGACGUUAGCGACAGAAGAAGCACCGGCUAACUCCGUGCCAGCAGCCGCGGUAAUACGGAGGGUGCGAGCGUUAAUCGGAAUUACUGGGCGUAAAGGGCACGCAGGCGGUUAAUUAAGUUGGAUGUGAAAUCCCCGGGCUUAACCUGGGAAUGGCAUUCAAGACUGGUUAGCUAGAGUCUUGUAGAGGGGGUAGAAUUCCAUGUGUAGCGGUGAAAUGCGUAGAGAUGUGGGGGAAUACCGGUGGCGAAGGCGGCCCCUGGACAAAGACUGACGCUCAUGUGCGAAAGCGUGGGGAGCAAACAGGGAUUAGAUACC
rnacentral:rRNA from 1 species